rnacentral:rRNA from 1 species
GACGAACGCUGGCGGCGUGCUUAACACAUGCAAGUCGAACGGAAAGGCCCUGCUUUUGUGGGGUGCUCGAGUGGCGAACGGGUGAGUAACACGUGAGUAACCUGCCCUUGACUUUGGGAUAACUUCAGGAAACUGGGGCUAAUACCGGAUAGGAGCUCCUGCUGCAUGGUGGGGGUUGGAAAGUUUCGGCGGUUGGGGAUGGACUCGCGGCUUAUCAGCUUGUUGGUGGGGUAGUGGCUUACCAAGGCUUUGACGGGUAGCCGGCCUGAGAGGGUGACCGGCCGAAUUGGGACUGAGAUACGGCCCAGACUCCUACGGGAGGCAGCAGUGGGGAAUAUUGCACAAUGGGCGGAAGCCUGAUGCAGCAACGCCGCGUGCGGGAUGACGGCCUUCGGGUUGUAAACCGCUUUCGCCUGUGACGAAGCGUGAGUGACGGUAAUGGGUAAAGAAGCACCGGCUAACUACGUG